UAGACAUUUGAUACAAGUUUAAGACAUAAUUUAGUUUGAAAUUUAAAAUAAGAUUUUAUGACCAGUUAUAAAGAUGGUUAAAAGUUGUUUUGUUUUUAAUUAAAAAACAGUUUCAACACAAAGAAACACUAUUCUGGUUUUUAAAGAAGAUUACAUUUAAACAUUCUGGGAGAAGGGUUGGCAUGGUUCUGAUGUCACACUGGAAAGAGUGAGUUCUGUGACAUCCUCUACUUCCUUGGCAUGGCUGGGGUUAAUAUACAUAGAUUCAUCUACUUGUGAAACAUAACGUACUCGGCGAAGCACAUCAUUUAACUCUUGCUUACGAGGUAGAAUGUUUUCUUUUACAGCUAACGCUGUUCUCUGUUAACAUCUGCUAGGAUAAUGAACUACUCUGACUGUUCCAAAGUGCUUGGCAGAAGAAACUGAGUCCUAGUCACUGAGCAUUCUCAUUGACUUCCAAUGCACUGCUUGCUACAAUGGCAUUUUACGGUCAGGAGAAGCAAGGCAAGAUCCCAAGAGAAAGACACUGGAACCAGGACUGUCGAAACCGCCGUCUCGUGUUCUAGGCAAAGAGCUGAAUAACUACAAGGCAGAUGGUUGGACAAGGCUGGCGAGCACUUCCUACACAGUACUAUGUGGUCCUACAGGAAGGACCGAUGACCUGGAUCUGAAUGGGGCUUCAAUCUGGCCCUGGGCGGAAGGGCAGUGAGGCCUGAGAGCCCAGCCAGCCUGCAGGCAUUGGACUCCCAGUGCCACCUUCCUUCAAGGUCUGAUGCAGUGAUGAGUGGCUAGUGGUCACUGACCUGAGUAACAGAGGACACUUUCAUUCCCAGAACGAAUCCACUUAUUUAUACACUUAAAGUCAGUGUUAUCAAUUGAGGUAAACACACACAGCUGUGCCAGGUAUGAACACAGCCAGCUAUAGGUCUCAAAUUCAUGGGUUUUAAAGUUUUAUUAGGAAGCACACAGGAAGGAAAUUUAAAUGAUUCAGCUUAGUAAAAUAAAAUGCUUACUAAAAAUAAAAUGUCACAUUAGCGUA